ACCGGCGCACGGGUGCGUAACGCGUAUGCACUUACCCAUUACUGGGGGAUAGCCCGGGGAAACUCGGAUUAAUACCCCAUAGUAUGGCAUCUGUAAAGAUUUAUUGGUAAUGGAUGGGCAUGCGUCUGAUUAGUUAGUUGGUGAGGUAACGGCUCACCAAGACGAUGAUCAGUAGGGGGUCUGAGAGGAUGAUCCCCCACACUGGUACUGAGAUACGGACCAGACUCCUACGGGAGGCAGCAGUAGGGAAUAUUGGUCAAUGGGCGAGAGCCUGAACCAGCCAUGCCGCGUGCAGGAUGACGGCCUUCGGGUUGUAAACUGCUUUUCUACAGGAAGAAAAAGCCCUUGCGAGGGAAAUUGCCGGUACUGUAGGAAUAAGCACCGGCUAACUCCGUGCCAGCAGCCGCGGUAAUACGGAGGGUGCAAGCGUUGUCCGGAUUUAUUGGGUUUAAAGGGUGCGUAGGCGGGUCUUUAAGUCCGUGGUGAAAGCCCAUCGCUCAACGAUGGAACUGCCAUGGAUACUGGAGGCCUUGAAUUCAGUUGAGGUAGGCGGAAUUGAUGGUGUAGCGGUGAAAUGCAUAGAUACCAUCAUGAACACCGAUUGCGAAAGCAGCUUACUGGGCUUGAGUUGACGCUGAGCACGAAAGCGGGGGAAGCGACAGAUAGGAUACCCUGGUAGUCCCCGCCGU
rnacentral:rRNA from 1 species